rnacentral:rRNA from 1 species
CAAGUCGAACGGGCCGCAAGGCCAGUGGCGCAAGGGUGAGUAAGGCGACGGUAACCAACCCCAGGAUUGGGUAUAGCCGCGGGAAACCGCGGGUAAUCCCCAGCGACGCAACGGCACCGGCAUCGGUGCCUUGCCAAAGCUUCNGCGUCGUGGGACGGGCUGUCGUGGUAUUAGCUUGUUGGCGGGGUAACGGCCCACCAAGGCUCUGAUGCCUACCGGGCGUGCGAGCGUGGCCCGGCACACUGGGACUGAGACACUGCCCAGACUCCUACGGGAGGCUGCAGUCGAGAAUCUUCGGCAAUGGGCGCAAGCCUGACCGAGCGACGCCGCGUGGAGGACGAAGGCCUUCGGGUUGUAAACUCCUGUCGAGGGGGAAAAAGGAUGGAAACAUCUUGAUUGAUCCCUGGAGGAAGCACGGGCUAAGUUCGUGCCAGCAGCCGCGGUAAGACGAACCGUGCGAACGUUAUUCGGAAUCAUUGGGCUUAAAGCGCGUGUAGGCGGAUUCGUGCGUCUGUCGCUGAAAUCCCCCGGCUCAACCGGGGAAGUGGCGUGGAUACGACGAGUCUGGAGGGGCAUAGGGGGACCUGGAACUUCCGGUGGAGCGGUGAAAUGCGUUGAGAUCGGAAGGAACGCCCGUGGCGAAAGCGAGGUCCUGGAUGCCUACUGACGCUGAGACGCGAAAGCCAGGGGAGCGAACGGGAUUAGAUACCCCGGUAGUCCUGGCCGUAAACGAUGGGUACUGGAUAGGGGGCUCGCCGAUGGGCUCCCUGUCGUAGGGAAACCGUGAAAGUACCCCGCCUGGGGAGUAUGGUCGCAAGGCUGAAACUCAAAGGAAUUGACGGGGGCUCACA